UACGUAGGGUGCAAGCGUUGUCCGGAAUUAUUGGGCGUAAAGAGCUCGUAGGUGGCCUGUCGCGUCGGCUGUGAAAAACUCGGGGGCUCAACUCCGAGCUUGCAGUCGAUACGGGCAGGCUAGAGUUCGGCAGGGGAGACUGGAAUUCCUGGUGUAGCGGUGAAAAUGCGCAGAUAUCAGGAGGAACACCGGUGGCGAAGGCGGGGUCUCUGGGCCGAUACUGACGCUGAGGAGCGAAAGCGUGGGGAGCGAACAGG
rnacentral:rRNA from 1 species